UACGUAGGGCGCAAGCGUUAUCCGGAAUUAUUGGGCGUAAAGAGCUCGUAGGCGGUUUGUCGCGUCUGCCGUGAAAGUCCGGGGCUCAACUCCGGAUCUGCGGUGGGUACGGGCAGACUAGAGUGAUGUAGGGGAGACUGGAAUUCCUGGUGUAGCGGUGAAAUGCGCAGAUAUCAGGAGGACACCGAUGGCGAAGGCAGGUCUCUGGGCAUUAACUGACGCUGAGGAGCGAAAGCAUGGGGAGCGAACAGG
rnacentral:rRNA from 1 species